UUGGCAUUGGCGGUGAUCAAGCGUGGCGGAAAUUCGUCCUCGACCAGGCAAGGGUCUCUACUCGACGGAGGCAAUGACAUUGUGGCCAAUGCCAGGAUGUAUCGGCAGAUGCCUAAAGCGUACACUCUUCUCUCGUAGAUCCACUCAAGACUACAGGAAUAACAUUUUAAAAUUCCAAUGACACUUGCAUAUGAAGCAAGAUUCAUCCGACCAAUUCAACGAAACAUCUGGAUCUCGUUCUGGACCAAUCACGUGUUCUUUAGUCAGACAUUCAAGGGAAAGGUUGUUGCAUACAUCUUUGGUUUUAUGCGUGUUUCACAGUGAAAGAAUGUUCGAACGAUAUGUCUGAGACUCGCAAGAGGCUAUUUAUCGAAGAAAAAAAGAGAAAAGAACGUGACAUACCGGAUUCAGUGAAGCAGUUAAGAAGGCUAUGGUUUUUCUGCUUCUCUUUAGAAGGCAAUCGCGUGGGCAGAUCAUUAUUCGCGUCUGUGUGAAAUUGUUGUCGAGUAUUGCGGCUGAUAACUCGUUCUUGGAAUAAAUUGAUUCCAUCGAUUGACUACAUUAUCUUGUUCUUCGGUUCAAAACAAAUUUUUUUUUUAUGAAAAUUUCAUAUCGGGAGAAUAAUUGGAUAUUUUUUUUAAAUAAAUAAAUUUAACGACAAUAGAACUUUUAAUUAAAUGUAUUUAAAAUA